UACGUAGGGGGCUAGCGUUGUCCGGAUUUAUUGGGCGUAAAGAGCGUGUAGGCGGCCAGGUAGGUCUGCUGUGAAAACCCGAGGCUUAACCUCGAGAUGUCGGCGGAAACCAUCUGGCUAGAGUCCGGAAGAGGAGAGUGGAAUUCCUGGUGUAGCGGUGAAAUGCGCAGAUAUCAGGAAGAACACCGAUGGCGAAGGCAGUGGGCUGGGCCGGCACUCACGCUGAGGAGCGAAAGCGUGGGGAGCGAACAGG
rnacentral:rRNA from 1 species